GGUUUGGUAGGGUUCUUAUCUAAUAAGAUCAGAUGAUAUCACUCCAUCAAUCAGAAUUUUUUCAGAAUUAACUAGAAUUUUCUGAUUGAUCGAAUGAUGUGGCACUGCAUGGCGCAGCAGGGUCUAUUUAAACCCUGUCUGCGCCUAGGGUUAUGUCUCUCAGCUCAAUACCCAGCAAAAAUGUGAAACCCCUCCACCUCUCCAUGCCCCCUCU
rnacentral:lncRNA from 1 species